CCCCUGGGCCGGGCUCGGGGCCUCCCGCCCGGGCGCGGAAAUAUGGAGCUGCGGGAGUUCGAGCGGGACAACGCGGGCAGCUGCCGCCUGGGCUCCCCCGUGCCCGAGCUGUGCAGGGCCGGGCCCUGCUGCCUGGGCAUCGAUGAGGCCGGCAGGGGCCCCGUGCUGGGUCCCAUGGUCUAUGCUGUUUGCUAUUGCCCAUUGGCCAAGCAGGAGGAGCUGGGAGCUCUGAAGAUGGCGGACUCGAAGACACUGACGGAGGCCGAGCGGGAGCAGCUGUUUGGGACGCUGGACCGGGCCAGGGACUUCGUCGGCUGGGCCCUGCACAUCCUCUCGCCCAACCUCAUCAGCACCAGCAUGCAGCAGCGGGCGAAAUACAACCUCAACGCCCUGUCCCACGACACGGCCAUCGGGCUGAUACAGCACGUGCUGGAUGCGGGAGUGCAGGUGGCAGAGGUCUUCGUGGACACGGUGGGGCCGGCGGAGAAGUACCAGGAGAAGCUGAAGCGGCACUUCCCGGAGCUCGAGGUGACCGUGAGGCCGAAGGCCGAUUCCCUCUUCCCCAUCGUCAGCGCGGCCAGCAUCUGUGCCAAGGUGGCGCGGGAUCGUGCUGUGAAGAACUGGACAUUCCCGGAGGAUCUGGGGGACGUGAGGAUGGAGUAUGGGUCUGGGUACCCCAAUGAUCCCAAGACCAAGGAGUGGCUGGCGCAGUGCCUGGACCCCGUGUUCGGGUACCCGCAGUUCGUGCGUUUCAGCUGGAGCACGGCCCAGACCAUCCUGGAGAGCAAGGCCGUGCCCGUGCGCUGGGAUGACAGUGAGGACGACCCCGCUCAGAAGGGCACCCGCUCCGUCCUGUCCUUCUUUGCCCUCAAAGAGUCUUCCAAACGCCAGCCCCACCGCUUCUUCCACGAGCGCAAGCUGGAGCCAGUGACUGGGCUGUAGCGGGCACCGGGGGGUGGAGGGCUGGCCCCAUGCCCGCGCCCCCCAGCUGGCCCCAUGCCCGCGCCCCCCAGCUGGCCCCAUGGCCCCAAGUCAGCGAGAACUUUUGAUGCGCAGCGUCUGGGAUUGUAUUUAAUUGUGAUGCCAACAGAUCUGAGCCACCCUCUCCAGGGGCUGGAAGGAGCCAGCUGGAAAGGGGGCUUGUAGGAACCAGCUGCCCCAGUCUCGCUGGCGCCUCCUUGCUGUGGAUUUCCCCCCCCCAUUUUCCCCACUUUGUUUUAGUUAAUAAAAC